GUUAAGCUCGUAGUUGAACCUUGGGUCUGGCUGGCCGGUCCGCCUCACNCGCGAGUACUGGUCCGGCUGGACCUUUCCUUCUGGGGAACCUCAUGGCCUUCACUGGCUGUGGGGGGAACCAGGACUUUUACUGUGAAAAAAUUAGAGUGUUCAAAGCAGGCCUUUGCUCGAAUACAUUAGCAUGGAAUAAUAGAAUAGGACGUGUGGUUCUAUUUUGUUGGUUUCUAGGACCGCCGUAAUGAUUAAUAGGGAUAGUCGGGGGCGUCAGUAUUCAGCUGUCAGAGGUGAAAUUCUUGGAUUUGCUGAAGACUAACUACUGCGAAAGCAUUCGCCAAGGAUGUUUUCAUUAAUCAGGGAACGAAAGUUAGGGGAUCGAAGACGAUCAGAUACCGUCGUAGUCUUAACCAUAAACUAUGCCGACUAGGGAUCGGACGGGAUUCUAUAAUGACCCGUUCGGCACCUUACGAGAAAUCAAAGUUUUUGGGUUCUGGGGGGAGUAUGGUCGCAAGGCUGAAACUUAAAGAAAUUGACGGAAGGGCACCACAAGGCGUGGAGCCUGCGGCUUANUUUGACUCAACACGGGGAAACUCACCAGGUCCAGACAAAAUAAGGAUUGACAGAUUGAGAGCUCUUUCUUGAUCUUUUGGAUGGUGGUGCAUGGCCGUUCUUAGUUGGUGGAGUGAUUUGUCUGCUUAAUUGCGAUAACGAAACGAGACCUCGGCCCUUAANUANCCCCGGUCCGCAUUUGCGGGGCCGCUGGCUUCUUAGGGGGGACUAUCGGCUCAGCCGAUGGAAGUGCGCGGCAAUAACA
rnacentral:rRNA from 1 species